AUGAACCCAGGAAAAGGAUUUCUAUGUGGUGUGGGCCUCUCUUUCUCCGUCUGCUUGCAUUAAAAAAGUUCACUCAGCCACAGUUUUAGAUCAGCCUCCAUUUUGAGCCACAGGAUGGAAAUAAUGUGUUCUCCGACCUUCAUCAUCUCUGAUCUGCAGAACUCAACGUAGGACGGGAAGCAGCAUAACCCGGUGAGGAAAGAAAGCGAUGAAGCAAAACCUUCAGCUGGAAUCACAGAGGACAAUGUCUGCUCCAUCAAAGAUGUUGUGAGGAAGAAAGAGGAGGAAGUUUCUCUGUCCCCUAAACCUUCUGCUCCAGAGGAAGACGGCAGAGACAGUGAGGACAACUGGUCACCUGAAAACCAAAUACCUGAGCAGGAGUCCAGACGCAUUUCUGGAGGAGCUUUAAUCAGCUGAUGCUAGAGCCUGAAGGAAAUCUUAUCCUAAAAUGACUGAUGAUCCUGAACGGGAACAUAGAAA